UGCGCUCACUCCUGCGCGGCUCCUUCCCCAGCUGCGGCAGCUCCCGAGCUCCAACAUUACCCAGAGCAGAGGAGGGAGAGGCCCCAGCAGGCUCAGGACAGCCAGACAGAAAGAUCUGGAGCAGCCACACCCUUACCCCACCCCCAGACAGAAAGAUCUGGAGCAGCCACACCCUUACCCCACCCCCCCGACCCCCGGGUACUCUGGCCGACCCCCCGGUAGGAACAUUCAUUUGAACAUCUUGUAAAAUGAUGGGACUGCAGGGGGGCCCAGGGGUCAUCUCUGGGGAGUAUUUCCCCAAGGGUGUUCCAUGGAACCUCACUUCAACGGGGUAUUGAUAGACUCUGGGCUUGGGAGUCAGGGAGUUAAAUGCGAGCAAGCUUUUAGUGUGGAUGUCCUGAGAAUUUUGAUGCAUUGAUGUGCAUUGUCCAGCGGGGACCAUUAUGUUCAUCCAUCAUCCAUCCAUCCAUCCGAGAAGUACCAUCUGCUCUCUGAGCCAGGCGCUGUGCGAGGACCAGGGAUAUCAAAGGCUACCACAGUCCUUGCUCUCGGAGAAAGACAGCAGGCGACAGGGAGAGGUCAGCAGUGACAGAGACUGCUUACGCCUGGGCACUCAGGAUGGUGGCCUUUGAGCAGGGAGUGGAGCGGCAGAGAAAGCACCCAAGGCUUGCAGCCAUCUGGGGGGCCUCCUGGCUGCACAGCACCAGGGUCCCCAGGGCGGUCUGACCACACUCACAGCCUUUCCUUCCUGGGACGUGUCUGCAAGGGUGGGGAGAUGCUCUUUUGUUACUUUUUUUCAUAGUCUUUUCCAUGAUGGUUUAUCACCUGCUGUUGAAUAUAGUUCCCUGUGCUGUGCAGAAGGACCUUGUUUAUGCAUCCUGUGUCAUAGUGAAUCUGAUUCUGUUUCAUAGAUAAGUUCAUUUGUGGUUUUUCUUUCUGGUUUUGGUCUUUUUAGGGCCACACCUGCAGCCUAUGGAAGUUCCCAGGCUAGGGGUCGAAUCAGAGCUGCAGCUGCUGACCUUUGCCACAGCCACACCAGAUCUGAGCCUUGUCUGCAACCUACACUGAAGCUCAUGGCAACACAAGAUCCUUAAGCCACUGCUCGCGGCCAGGGAUGGAACCUGCAUCCUCGUGGAUACUAGUUGGGUUCAUUACCACUGAGCCACAACAGGAACUCCUGUGUUGUAUUUUGGAUUCCACAUAUAAGUGACAUCAUAUGGUAUUUGUCUUUCUCUGACUCACUUCACUGAGUAUGAUAAUUCUUCAGUCCAUUCAUGUUGCCGCAAAUGGCAUUAUUUUGUUCUUUUUUAUGACUGAGUAAUAUUCCGUUGAAUAGAUGUACCACAUCUUUAUUCAUUCAUCUGUUGGUGGUUACUGGUUUCUUCCCUGUCCUGGCUUUUGUAAAUAGUGCUGCAGUGAAUGUUGGGGUGCAUGUCUCUUUUCGAAUUAUGGGUUUUUUCUGGAUAUAUGCCUAGGAGUGGGAUUGCCAGAUUAUAUGGUAAUUCCAUUUUUAGUUUUUUGAAGAACCUCUGUUCUGUUUUCCAUAGCCAGCCCUGUCUUUCUAUAGAUGUAGAAACGUGAGCCUUGGAGAACGGGAUUGCUCAAGGUCUCUGUGACCUUGGCAGGGACAGGCCCCAGCCACCCUUGUUUCUUUUUAUAAAGUUUACUGUACUUUUUAAUGCUAAAACUAAUACAUACUCAUCAUAGCAAAUGCAGAAAUAAGCCCUGCCAUAUCACUACUACCCAGAAAUAGCACUGCUAUUUCUCCAUGCAUUUCCUUCCUGGAUUUUUUCCUAUGGUACAUUUUUAGAUGUAUUUCUGUAGUUACCACAUUGCUUUAUGCAGAUACAAUGCUUUAUAUCGCUUUUUUCCUGCAACUUUGUAAGCAUUUGCCCCGUCAUCAUACCUUCAUUAUAAAUAACUCCUAUCAGCUGCACAGCAGGCUGCUGCGGUUAACAGUAUCACUCUUUGUUCUGGCCUCUGACACUGACGAUGACAGGUGAUGACAAUGAUAAGAGAAUACAGGCCAGGCUCACAGAGGCCCUUGCGCGUGCAGUGCGCUUUCCGAGGACUUCUUCCAUGGGCAUUUAAACAGGCUCACCUGGCUCCCAGUGGGAAGAAAGCCUCCCUGGUCUGUCCCUUAACCCUCGGGGCUCUGCCCUCUCCUCUUCCUGCUCUGCCCCUCCUGGGCUGUCUCCUGGGCUCUCUGGGUCUCAGUCACCUCUUCAGCCCUGAGUCUGUAUCUUUUUUUAAUAUUAUUUUUUUUAAGGGCCACAGGUGCGGCAUAUGGAGGUUCCCAGGCUAGGGGUUGAAUCAGAGCUGCAGCUGCCCGCCUACACUACAGCUCACGGCAGCACAGGAUCUGAGCCUCAUCUGCGACCUACACCCCAGGUCACAGAAACACCAGAUCCUUGACCCACUGAGCAGGGCCAGGGAUCGAACCCACAUCCUCGUGGAUACAAGCCAGGUUCGUUUUCGAUGAACCACAAUGGGAGCUCCCUGAGUGAGUGUCUGACUCAGUUUCCUCAGCCCGUCCCCGGAUGUCCAUCUGCUCACCCGCUGUGCCUCAGUUUCAUGUCCCAAAUCAAAUGCAUUCACGCUUCUCCCCAAACCCUGUACGGCCCCACCCACCCAAGCUGGCAACGGGCAUCUCCCUCCACCCCUGGUUUUGACUCACUGCCCAUAUCAACAGGCUGCGGGUAAGAGUGACAACGCCAGCUGUGCCACCUUGAGGGCACUUACCCAGGCCUCAUACCUGCUGGCUCCUUUAAUACCCUCACCACCUGAGGAGGUGGCUUCUUUUUAGGACGAUCCUCCUUUUUUUGGAAGAAACUAAACCUCAGAGAGGUUAGUUAACUUUCCAGGGCUGCGCAGCGAGUAUGUUGGGACUUGAACCCCUGUGGUCGGUUUUCAGAGUUUACACUCCACUGCCUCACUGGGCUGCGUCUCCAAGACUCCGGGAGCCACGGCCCGUGUCCGCAGCGUCUCCCCCUCUGAGCUGCCUCUGCUCUGGCCCGGCUGCAGCCACGCUGGCCUUGCCCCACGGGGCAGUCAGACUGAGCUUUCCAAAUACCUCACUCUCAGAGGAGUUCCCCUUGUGGCCCAGCAGGUUAAGAACCAGACAUAGUGUCCUAGAGGUUGCAGGUUCGAUCCCUGGCCUCCGUCAGUGGGUUAAGGACCUGGUGUUGCCAUGAGCUGUGGUGUAGGUCGCAGAUGCAGCUUGGAUCCCGUGUGGCUGUGGCUACAGUGUAGGCAGGCAGCUACAGCUCUAAUUCCACCCCUAGCCUGGGACCUUCCACAUGUCGCAGGUGCAUUCCUCAAAAGAAUUAAUUAAUUAAUAGCUUACCCUCCCACUUAAACCCCUUUAGUGGCUCUUGGAGAAAAGCUGCUUCCCGUUGUGCACAGGCCCUGGUCAGGGGCUCUGGGCUCUUCUCUCCAUCACCACCCCCGCCCCGCCACUCGCAACUUUGGUCCCCACACCACAGCACGCUCCUGUCACCGCCCAGCCUUCCCCAGUCCUUACCUGUUCUCUCGGCCCCCUAACUCUGCUCAAAAGCCACUUCGUCCAGGAAGUCUUCCCUGAGUGCCUCGUCUGAUUUCCAGCCCCUCUCAUGUGUCCUCCACUGCUCUUCCUUCAUCGCAAUGAACCGUAAGCCUGGGUGCACUCGGCCUCCUUGCCUGUAGCCCCUCUGUCCCUCAGCUGCCUGAGGCAUAAACUCUGCCUGUGGUUCCUUCUUCUUCCUCCAGCGCUUGGCACCAGGCCUGGUGUAGACAGGUUAUUAGUGAGGGGUAGGGGAUGCACUAACCCGUGAAGGCUUAGCAAUGGGGCUGCGGUCAAGGUGAGCCUUUGGGCUUGUAUGCAGCUCCUAACCCUUUGCCCUCAGGCGUGAGCAUCCUCUCCUGCUUCCCGCGUCUCACUCUUGCUUCGUCCCGAGCCUCCCUUUUAGUUAGAUUGACUUCCAGGCGAGCACCCAGAAAUCGAAUUACUGAAUUAGAGGGCAAGGACGUCUUUAUGCCCCCUGCUAGCUUUUGCACAAAUGAAUUCCAAAAGCAUGCUAACAAUCUGGGAGGCGUUUGCUUUUUUAGUAAAUGAAUCCUCUUUCCUUUUCUAAGCGUCUCGCUGGCGGAAGCCGCACGAAGCUAUUUUUACCCAAAGGCUCUAACGCUCUCCUCGCCUUCAGAGGAGAAAGUCGGGCGGGCGGGCGUGUUGGGUGGAGGCUGUGUGCCCGCCUUGCCCACCCAUCAGCGGCUGCAAGCUAGCCUAGUUCUGGGUCAUUUGGGGAAACCAAAUUUAAAUUCUGUUCCACAUUCAGCAGCGGUUCUGUACAAGAAGGAAAACACACACACACACACACACACUGGGGGACUUAGAAACAACUUUCUCGACCCUCAGAAUUUUAAAGUUGUUUCUAAGUCCCCCAAGCCCGUGACCUUUGGCAGAGAACACUGGGAAAAGAUCAGAGCUGAGAGCACAUCGGGGGUGGAAGGAUCAUCUGGCUUGUCCGUGGCUGGUUUUAGCAACAGCUCCUGCAGAUAAAAUCUUGCAGGAAGAUCCACUUUAUAUAAUAUGGUUGACGAGGCGGCUGCUGUGGCUGAAACAGUCGGUGGGGGGGGUGACCAGAAACGCUCUCAUCCCGGGUUCAUCCCUCCCCGGUCCCCUAAGCAGCCCCCACCUCCCCCCCCUCAUCCCUCCAGCCACCCCCCUCCCUGCCCCCUCCAAGUAAGGCCCCAGCUCUGCAGGCCAGAAUCAGCUUUGUAGGAAACCCAGGCCCAGCGAGGGCAGGGACCUGCCUGAGGCCACGCGGUGUCUGGGGCUGUCUCUCCCCUUGCCAGGACCACCCGGGCCUCGCACAGUCCCAGGGUGUCACCAUUCUCAGAGGAGGUCCUGGAGGUGACUGGCUUCCCCCAGCGCUUGCCGCCAGCUGCCCCCCCUGUCGAUUUGGGUCCAGCUCCUCCUAAGUUCUUCCGUUACCAGCUCUUCUAUCUGUUUUUUAAGAAAAUCAUCCAUGCCGUUUAGAUUCUUCAAUUUAUCGAAAUCACACCGCGAUGGUGGCCUCUUGUAAUGAUUUUAUUCUCAGGUACCCGGUGCGGUUAUAAGGCCUUUCUCAUCCCUAGUGUACUUUUUGUUUUCUCGCCUUUUAUUUCUUGCGCUUUGUGAGUUUUCCAUUUUAUUUCUUGUGGAAGAAGCAGAUUUUAAUUUCAUCUGUCAGUAAGUUUUGUUUUAUAAUUUAUUCUUUGGUUGUGUUUAAAAAUGAUUGCCUCUUUAUUUAUAUAUAGUCUUUGCUAUACAAUAAAGACAUUGAAGAUUUGCUAUUGCUAUUUCCC
rnacentral:lncRNA from 1 species